rnacentral:rRNA from 1 species
GUGCCAGCCGCCGCGGUAAUACGGAGGGUGCAAGCGUUAUCCGGAUUCACUGGGUUUAAAGGGUGCGUAGGUGGGUUGGUAAGUCAGUGGUGAAAUCUCCAGGCUUAACUUGGAAACUGCCAUUGAUACUAUCAGUCUUGAAUACCGUGGAGAUGAGCGGAAUAUGUCAUGUAGCGGUGAAAUGCUUAGAUAUGACAUAGAACACCAAUUGCGAAGGCAGCUCGUUACACGAAUAUUGACACUGAUGCACGAAAGCGUGGGGAUCAAACAGGAUUAGAAACCCGGGUAGUCC